CAGAGGAGGGCAUGAUACCUUUUUGAUAUCAUUACAAUUUGUCAUCUCGGGCAAUGUUGAAGUAGCAGUUAAAUCAAGCAGGUCUGUAUCUCGUCCACCAAGCUCCGUAGGAGGGCAUGAUACUUUUUCAAUAUCAUUACAAUUUGUCAUCUCGGGCAAUGUUGAAGUAGCAGUUAAAUCAAGCAGACCUGUAUCUCGUCCAUCAAGCUCCGUAGGAGGGCAUGAUACUUUUUUGCUAUCAUUACAAUUUGUCAUCUCGGGCAACAUUGAAGUAGUAGUUAAAUCAAGCAGACCUGUAUCUCGUCCACCAAGCUCCGUAGGAGGGCAUGAUACUUUUUUGCUAUCAUUACAAUUUGUCAUAUCAGGCAACGUUGAACAAGUAGUUAAAUCAAGCAGACCUGUAUCUCGUCCACCAAGCUCUGUAGGAGGGCAUGAUACU
rnacentral:lncRNA from 1 species